rnacentral:rRNA from 1 species
AGUUUUUUGUUUUUUUAUAAAAAAUAGUUUCUGCCCAGUGAAUUAUUUAACGGCUGCGGUAAUUUGACCGUGCAAAGGUAGCAUAAUCAUUUGUCUCAUAAUUGGGGACUGGAAUGAAUGGGGAGACCAAAAUUAGUUCUUUUUUGGUUUUUGGAAUAGAAUUUUCUUUUUAAGUGAAGAAGCUUAGAGAAAAAAGGGGACAAGAAGACCCUAUUGAGCUUGACUCUUUGAAGUGGUGUGAUAUUUAAUUAUUUAAAAAGAGUUAGACUGGGGCGGUGGAGGAAGAUAAAAUCUUCUUUUUUCUUUUUUAGAAUUAAAUUUUUGGAUCCAAGUUUUUUGAGAAGAAGAAAAAGUUACCAUAGGGAUAACAGCGUAAUUUUUUUGGAGAGUUCUUAUUGAUAAAAAAGUUUGCGACCUCGAUGUUGACUUUUAGUAGCUUUUUGGUGCAGAAGCCAAGAUGGUGGGUCUGUUCGACCUUUAAAACUAA